rnacentral:ncRNA from 1 species
UGAAGGGGAGAAUUAAUGGUGCCUGAAGAGCAGGCAGUUGAAAGAACAGGCUGCCAAGUUUAGUGAAUAUCUAAUUAUCAGAUGCAAGUAAAAACAACUGAGAAGAACAAAAAACGCAACUAACAAAUGCGUACAAGCGCAAUGCGACAGCCGAUCCUAAACGGCAGCAUAACUGUGCUCAUUUCGGGGCAUUGCUGUCCUCGUCUUUCGCGAAAGGGAAUCAGGAUAAUAUUCCUGGUCCAGGACGUGGAUUAUGUACGGCAAUGUGAAAGAACUCCUCGACGCAGGCUGGUGCCCCGGGAAGCGUCGUAUUUGCUUUUUAACACCCUAACGUAAUGUUACAAACAUACCGUGAAAUCAGAUUAUGUGGAGAUAGGGUUGACUAGUUGGUAGAGCUUCCUGGGUUCCAGGGAGUCCACUGCUCCCCUGACUGCGCUUGAAGAGGAGGAAAGCUGUUAUUUGCACCCCUGGCCGUACAAUACACCGCAUCAGAUCUCCAAGGUUAGUAGCCUCUG